rnacentral:rRNA from 1 species
UAGGGAAUAUUGGACAAUGGGCGCAAGCCUGAUCCAGCCAUGCCGCGUGAGUGAAGAAGGCCCUCGGGUUGUAAAGCUCUUUUGUCCGGAAAGAAAAGCAUUCGGUUAAUACCCGGGUGUUCUGACGGUACCGGAAGAAUAAGCACCGGCUAACUUCGUGCCAGCAGCCGCGGUAAUACGAAGGGUGCAAGCGUUACUCGGAAUUACUGGGCGUAAAGCGUGCGUAGGUGGUUUGUUAAGUCUGAUGUGAAAGCCCUGGGCUCAACCUGGGAAUGGCACUGGAUACUGGCAAGCUAGAGUGUGGCAGAGGGUAGUGGAAUUCCUGGUGUAGCAGUGAAAUGCGUAGAGAUCAGGAGGAACAUCCGUGGCGAAGGCGACUGCCUGGGCCAACACUGACACUGAGGCACGAAAGCGUGGGGAGCAAACA